rnacentral:rRNA from 1 species
AGAACGAACGCUGGCGGCAUGCCUAACACAUGCAAGUCGAACGAGACCUUCGGGUCUAGUGGCGCACGGGUGCGUAACGCGUGGGAAUCUGCCCUUAGGUACGGAAUAACAGUGAGAAAUUACUGCUAAUACCGUAUGAUGUCUUCGGACCAAAGAUUUAUCGCCUAGGGAUGAGCCCGCGUAGGAUUAGCUAGUUGGUGGGGUAAAGGCCUACCAAGGCGACGAUCCUUAGCUGGUCUGAGAGGAUGAUCAGCCACACUGGGACUGAGACACGGCCCAGACUCCUACGGGAGGCAGCAGUGGGAAUAUUGGACAAUGGGCGAAAGCCUGAUCCAGCAAUGCCGCGUGAGUGAAGAAGGCCUUCGGGUUGUAAAGCUCUUUUACCCGGGAAGAUAAUGACUGUACCGGAGAAUAAGCCCGGCUAACUCCGCGCCAGCAGCCGC